rnacentral:rRNA from 1 species
CAAGCGGUGGAGCAUGUGGUUCAAUUCGACGCAACGCGAAGAACCUUACCUGGGCUCGAACGGCUGGUUACCGGCGGUGGAAACAUCGCUACCCCGCAAGGGGGUCCAGUCGAGGUGCUGCAUGGCUGUCGUCAGCUCGUGUCGUGAGAUGUUGGGUUAAGUCCCGCAACGAGCGCAACCCUUGUCCUGUGUUGCCAUCAUUCAGUUGGGAACUCGCAGGAGACCGCCAGCGAUAAGCUGGAGGAAGGUGGGGAUGACGUCAAGUCCUCAUGGCCUUUAUGUCCAGGGCUACACACGUGCUACAAUGGACGGUACAAAGCGCAGCAAACCCGCGAGGGGGAGCCAAUCGCAAAAAACCGUUCUCAGUUCGGAUUGCAGGCUGCAACUCGCCUGCAUGAAGCUGGAAUCGCUAGUAAUGGCAGAUCAGCACGCUGCCGUGAAUACGUUCCCGGGCCUUGUACACACC